rnacentral:siRNA from 1 species
GAAGACGGUGUACGAUUGAUUAAA